AAACGUGGAGGCGUUGUUGGGUAAGUUAUUCAGGAGCUAAAAAGGAGUGCCAAUACUCCUGGGAGUUCUUCGGCAGUUCGACGGUUGGUAUAGACCAACAAAGGUAUUUUUGCUUCUCUUUGUUCAUUUUGUGUAGUCAAAGAUGUAGUCCGUUGAUUUUGUUGAGAAGUAGUAUUUUUCGAGUAACGAUGUUGUCUUGUGGUUUGUAGUCAAGGGUGCUGGUUGGUUUGUUUCCCGCGCCUUUCAAAGAUAAGGAGGUGGUCGAGGGUAAAACUGAAGAUGCGCCUUCCACUCCUCCAGUUAAGAGACGCUGAGUAGUGUGGAAGAAACCCGCUACUCAGCAUGCUACGACUGCUUCGGAUUUGACCCCCGAGGGGUCACAGGGUACCAAGG
rnacentral:lncRNA from 1 species